rnacentral:rRNA from 1 species
UAUUGGACAAUGGGCGAAAGCCUGAUCCAGCAAUGCCGCGUGAGUGAUGAAGGCCUUAGGGUUGUAAAGCUCUUUUACCCGGGAUGAUAAUGACAGUACCGGGAGAAUAAGCUCCGGCUAACUCCGUGCCAGCAGCCGCGGUAAUACUGAGGGAGCUAGCGUUGUUCGGAAUUACUGGGCGUAAAGCGCACGUAGGCGGCUUUGUAAGUUAGAGGUGAAAGCCUGGAGCUCAACUCCAGAAUUGCCUUUGAUACUGCAUCGCUUGAAUCCAGGAGAGGUGAGUGGAAUUCCGAGUGUAGAGGUGAAAUUCGUAGAUAUUCGGAAGAACACCAGUGGCGAAGGCGGCUCACUGGACUGGUAUGACGCUGAGGUGCGAAA